rnacentral:tRNA from 1 species
ACUGGGAUGGCUGAGUGGUUAAGGCAUUUGGCUUAAGAUCCAAUGGGCAGAGAUGCCUGUGUGGGUUCUAACUUCACUCCCAAUA